GCGUAACAGCUCACUAGUCGAGUGACCCUGCGCCGAAAAUGUACCGGGGCUAAGCCUGAUACCGAAACUGCGGAUUGUAGGAAACUAUAGUGGUAGGGGAGCGUUGUAUACGAGCAGAAGCCGUACCGUGAGGAGCGGUGGAUUGUAUAGAAGUGAGAAUGCCGGUGUGAGUAGCGAGAUGUAGGUGAGAAUCCUACACACCGAAAGCCCAAGGAUUCCAGGGGAAGGUUCGUCCGCCCUGGGUAAGUCGGGACCUAACGCGAGGCCGAAAGGCGUAGUGGAUGGAAAGCAGGCGAAAGAUUCCUGCACCCGUAUAUGGAGCGAAGGAGUGACGGAGACGGAUAGUGUGACCCUCUUAAUGGAUUGAGGGCGAAGCGAAGCGGCUGGUUACCAGGCAAAUCCGGUAACCAUAAGGCUAGAGCGUGACAGGUAAGCGAAAUCUUAGGAAAGUAGCGAAGCACAUGAUGACGGCUUCCAGGAAAAGCUUCUGGCAAUGCAUAUGCGGCCCGUACCAAAACCGACACAGGUGGGCAGGGAGAGAAUCCCGAGGUGAGCGAGAGAACUGUUGCCAAGGAACUCGGCAAAAUGACUCCGUAAGUUAGCGAGAAGGAGUGCUUAAGCAAUUAAGCCGCAGUGAAGAGGCCCAAGCGACUGUUUAACUAAAACACAGCUCUCUGCGAAGUCGCAAGACGAAGUAUAGGGGGUGACACCUGCCCGGUGCUGGAAGGUUAAGAGGAUCUGUUAAGAGCGAUCUGAAGCAGUGAUCCGAAGCCCCAGUGAACGGCGGCCGUAACUAUAACGGUCCUAAGGUAGCGAAAUUCCUUGUCAGGUAAGUUCUGACCCGCACGAAAGGUGUAACGAUUUGGGCGCUGUCUCGGCAGCAGACUCGGUGAAAUCUUAGUACCUGUGAAAAUGCAGGUUACCCGCAACUAGACGGAAAGACCCCAUGGAGCUUUACUGCAGCCUGAUAUUGAAUUCUGGUCAUACAUGUACAGGAUAGGUGGGAGACAAAGAGACGUGCACGCCAGUGUACGAGGAGUCGACGUUGGGAUACCACUCUUGUGUGACCGGGGUUCUAACCUGGUAUCGAGAACAGGUACGGGGAGAGUGUCAGGUGGGCAGUUUGACUGGGGCGGUCGCCUCCCAAAGAGUAACGGAGGCGCCCAAAGGUACGCUCAGAUUGGAUGGAAACCAAUCGUCGAGUGCAAUUGCAGAAGCGUGCUUGACUGUGAGACAGACAAGUCGAACAGGGACGAAAGUCGGGAAUAGUGAUCCGGCGGUGCCGAAUGGAAGGGCCGUCGCUCAACGGAUAAAAGCUACCCUGGGGAUAACAGGCUGAUCUCGCCCAAGAGUUCACAUCGACGGCGAGGUUUGGCACCUCGAUGUCGGCUCAUCGCAUCCUGGAGCUGGAUUCGGUUCCAAGGGUUGGGCUGUCCGCCCAUUAAAGCGGUACGCGAGCUGGGUUCAGAACGUCGUGAGACAGUUCGGUCCCUAUCUGUUGUGGGCGAAGGAGAUCUGCGGAGAGCUGUCCUCAGUACGAGAGGACCGGGAUGGACCUACCGCUGGUGCACCGGUUGUUCCGCCAGGGGCAUAGCCGGGUAGCUAAGUAGGGAAAGGAUAAGCGCUGAAAGCAUCUAAGCACGAAGCCUACUCCAAGAUGAGAUCUCCCAUUCGCAAGAAGUAAGACCCCUUAAAGACGAUAAGGUAGAUAGGCCAGGGAUGGAAGUGCAGUGAUGUACGGAGUUGACUGGUACUAAUCGGUCGAGGACUUAAUCAG
rnacentral:rRNA from 1 species